rnacentral:rRNA from 1 species
CAGCCAGUAGGGAAUCUUCCGCAAUGGACGAAAGUGUGACGGAGCAACGCCGCGUGAGUGAUGAAGGCCUUCGGGUCGUAAAACUCUGUUGUUAGGGAAGAACAAGUACCGGAGUAACUGCCGGUACCUUGACGGUACCUAACCAGAAAGCCACGGCUAACUACGUGCCAGCAGCCGCGGUAA